UGGGGAAUCUUGGACAAUGGGCGCAAGCCUGAUCCAGCCAUGCCGCGUGAGUGAUGAAGGCCUUAGGGUUGUAAAAUCCUUUCGCCGAGGACGAUAAUGACGGUACUCGGAGAAGAAGCUCCGGCUAACUUCGUGCCAGCAGCUGCGGUAAUACGAAGGGGGCUAGCGUUGUUCGGAUUUACUGGGCGUAAAGCGCGUGUAGGCGGGUCGUUAAGUUGGGGGUGAAAUCCCGAGGCUCAACCUCGGAACUGCCUUCAAAACUGGCGACCUGGACCUAAGUAGAGGCAAGUGGAAUUGCGAGUGUAGAGGUGAAAUUCGUAGAUAUGCGGAGGAACACCGAUGGCGAAGGCAAUCCCCUGGACCUGUACUGACGCUCAUGCACGAAAGCGUGGGGAGCAAACAGGAUUAGAUACCCCCGUAGUCCCUGAGCGGGCUGGCAAGGCGCAU
rnacentral:rRNA from 1 species